rnacentral:rRNA from 1 species
CCUACGGGAGGCAGCAGUGGGGGAUAUUGCACAAUGGGGGGAACCCUGAUGCAGCGACGCCGCGUGGGUGAAGAAGCGCCUCGGCGCGUAAAGCCCUGUCAGCAGGGAAGAAAAUGACGGUACCUGAAGAAGAAGCCCCGGCUAACUACGUGCCAGCAGCCGCGGUACUACGUAGGGGGCAAGCGUUAUCCGGAUUUACUGGGGGUAAAGGGGGCGCAGACGGGGAUGCAAGCCAGGAGUGAAAGCUCGGGGCCCAAACCCGGGACUGCGUUUGGCACUGGGUGGCUGGAGUGCAGGAGGGGCAGGCGGAAUUCCUGGUGUAGCGGUGAAAUGCGUAGAUAUCAGGAGGAACACCGAUGGCGAAGGCGGCCUGCUGGACUGCAACUGACGUUGAGGCCCGAAAGCGUGGGUAGCAAACAGGAUUAGAUACCCGAGUAGUC